GAUGAACGCUGGCGGCGUGCCUAAUACAUGCAAGUCGAGCGAACGGACGAGAAGCUUGCUUCUCUGAUGUUAGCGGCGGACGGGUGAGUAACACGUGGAUAACCCACCUAUAAGACUGGGAUAACUUCGGGAAACCGGAGCUAAUACCGGAUGAUAUUUUGAACCGCAUGGUUCAAAAGUGAAAGACGGUCUUGCUGUCACUUAUAGAUGGAUCCGCGCUGCAUUAGCUAGUUGGUAAGGUAACGGCUUACCAAGGCAACGAUGCAUAGCCGACCUGAGAGGGUGAUCGGCCACACUGGAACUGAGACACGGUCCAGACUCCUACGGGAGGCAGCAGUAGGGAAUCUUCCGCAAUGGGCGAAAGCCUGACGGAGCAACGCCGCGUGAGUGAUGGAGGUCUUCGGAUCGUAAAACUCUGUUAUUAGGGAAGAACAUAUGUGUAAGUAACUGUGCACAUCUUGACGGUACCUAAUCAGAAAGCCACGGCUAACUACGUGCCAGCAGCCGCGGUAAUACGUAGGUGGCAAGCGUUAUCCGGAAUUAUUGGGCGUAAAGCGCGCGUAGGCGGUUUUUUAAGUCUGAUGUGAAAGCCCACGGCUCAACCGUGGAGGGUCAUUGGAAACUGGAAAACUUGAGUGCAGAAGAGGAAAGUGGAAUUCCAUGUGUAGCGGUGAAAUGCGCAGAGAUAUGGAGGAACACCAGUGGCGAAGGCGACUUUCUGGUCUGUAACUGACGCUGAUGUGCGAAAGCGUGGGGAUCAAACAGGAUUAGAUACCCUGGUAGUCCACGCCGUAAACGAUGAGUGCUAAGUGUUAGGGGGUUUCCGCCCCUUAGUGCUGCAACUAACGCAUUAAGCACUCCGCCUGGGGAGUACGACCGCAAGGUUGAAACUCAAAGGAAUUGACGGGGACCCGCACAAGCGGUGGAGCAUGUGGUUUAAUUCGAAGCAACGCGAAGAACCUUACCAAAUCUUGACAUCCUUUGACAACUCUAGAGAUAGAGCCUUCCCCUUCGGGGGACAAAGUGACAGGUGGUGCAUGGUUGUCGUCAGCUCGUGUCGUGAGAUGUUGGGUUAAGUCCCGCAACGAGCGCAACCCUUAAGCUUAGUUGCCAUCAUUAAGUUGGGCACUCUAAGUUGACUGCCGGUGACAAACCGGAGGAAGGUGGGGAUGACGUCAAAUCAUCAUGCCCCUUAUGAUUUGGGCUACACACGUGCUACAAUGGACAAUACAAAGGGCAGCGAAACCGCGAGGUCAAGCAAAUCCCAUAAAGUUGUUCUCAGUUCGGAUUGUAGUCUGCAACUCGACUACAUGAAGCUGGAAUCGCUAGUAAUCGUAGAUCAGCAUGCUACGGUGAAUACGUUCCCGGGUCU
rnacentral:rRNA from 1 species